ACCUGGCUGGCUCAGUUGGAAGAGUGUGCAACUCUUAAUCUCAUGGUUGUGAGUUUAAGCCCCAUGUUGGGUG
rnacentral:tRNA from 1 species